rnacentral:rRNA from 1 species
AUUGAACGCUGGCGGCAUGCCUUACACAUGCAAGUCGAACGGUAACAGGUCUUCGGAUGCUGACGAGUGGCGAACGGGUGAGUAAUACAUCGGAACGUGCCUAGUAGUGGGGGAUAACUACUCGAAAGAGUGGCUAAUACCGCAUGAGAUCUACGGAUGAAAGCAGGGGAUCGCAAGACCUUGUGCUACUAGAGCGGCCGAUGGCAGAUUAGGUAGUUGGUGGGAUAAAAGCUUACCAAGCCGACGAUCUGUAGCUGGUCUGAGAGGACGAUCAGCCCCACUGGGACUGAGACACGGCCCAGACUCCUACGGGAGGCAGCAGUGGGGAGUUUUGGACAAUGGGCGAAAGCCUGAUCCAGCAAUGCCGCGUGCAGGAUGAAGGCCUUCGGGUUGUAAACUGCUUUUGUACGGAACGAAAAGCCCUGGGUUAAUACCCUGGGGUCAUGACGGUACCGUAAGAAUAAGCACCGGCUAACUACGUGCCAGCAGCCGCCGUAA